rnacentral:rRNA from 1 species
UACGGAGGGUGCAAGCAUUAAUCGGAUUUAUUGGGCGUAAAGGGCGCGUAGGCGGGUGAGAAAGUCAGAUGUGAAAUUCCGAAACUCCAUUUCGGAGCUGCAUUUGAAACUGUUCACCUCGAGGGAUGGCGGAGAAAAUGGAAUUCCACGUGUAGCGGUGAAAUGCGUAGAUAUGUGGAAGAACACCUGUGGCGAAAGCGGUUUUCUAGCUUUUACCUGACGCUGAGGCGCGAGAGCAAGGGGAGCAAACAGG